AUACGUAGGGUGCGAGCGUUGUCCGGAAUUACUGGGCGUAAAGAGCUCGUAGGUGGUUUGUCGCGUCGUCUGUGAAAUUCCGGGGCUUAACUCCGGGCGUGCAGGCGAUACGGGCAUAACUUGAGUACUGUAGGGGAGACCGGAAUUCCUGGUGUAGCGGUGAAAUGCGCAGAUAUCAGGAGGAACACCGGUGGCGAAGGCGGGUCUCUGGGCAGUAACUGACGCUGAGGAGCGAAAGCAUGGGUAGCGAACAGGAUUAGAUACCCUGGUAGUCCAUGCCGUAAACGGUGGGCGCUAGGUGUAGGGGUCUUCCACGACUUCUGUGCCGUAGCUAACGCAUUAAGCGCCCCGCCUGGGGAGUACGGCCGCAAGGCUAAAACUCAAAGGAAUUGACGGG
rnacentral:rRNA from 1 species